GCCUUUAUAGCUUAACGGUAAAGCAAUAAACUGAAGAUUUAUGUAUACAUAGUUCAAUUCUUGUUAAAGGCA
rnacentral:tRNA from 1 species